rnacentral:rRNA from 1 species
UCANUGGGCGAAGCCUGAUGCAGCAACGCCGCGUGAGGGACGAAGGCUUUCUGAGUUGUAAACCUCUUUCAGCAGGGACGAUUAUGACGGUACCUGCAGGAGAAGCCCCGGCCAACUACGUGCCAGCAGCCGCGGUAAUACGUAGGGGGCGAGCGUUGUCCGGAUUUAUUGGGCGUAAAGAGCUCGUAGGCGGCUUGGCAAGUCGGGUGUGAAACCUCCAGGCUCAACCUGGAGCCGCCAUUCGAUACUGCCAUGGCUUGAGUUUGGUAGGGGACCACGGAAUUCCUGGUGUAGCGGUGAAAUGCGCAGAUAUCAGGAGGAACACCAGCGGCGAAGGCGGUGGUCUGGGCCAAUACUGACGCUGAGGAGCGAAAGCGUGGGGAGCGAACAGGAUUAGAUACCCUGGUAGUCCACGCCGUAAACGUUGGGCACUAGGUGUGGGGACCUAUCGACGGUUUCUGUGCCGCAGCUAACGCAUUAAGUGCCCCGCCUGGGGAGUACGGCCGCAAGGCUAAAACUCAAAAAAAUUGACGGA